rnacentral:rRNA from 1 species
AUUGAACGCUAGCGGGAUGCUUUACACAUGCAAGUCGAACGAGUGGUGGACGGGUGUGCAAUAUAUCGGAACGUGUCCAGCAGCGGGGGAUAACUACUCGAAAGAGUGGCUAAUACCGCAUAAUAUUUGAGCGGCCGAUAUCGGAUUAGCUAGUUGGUGGGGUAAAGGCUCACAAAGGCAACGAUCCGUAGCUGCUUUGAGAGGACGACCAGCCACACUGGGACUGAGACACGGCCCAGACUCCUACGGGAGGCAGCAGUGGGGAAUUUUGGACAAUGGGGGAAACCCUGAUCCAGCCAUCCCGCGUGUAUGAGAAGGCCUUCGGGUUGUAAAGUACUUUUGGCAGAGAAGCGGUAUCUGCAGAAUAAGCACCGGCUAACUACGUGCCAGCAGCCGCGGUAAUUC